rnacentral:rRNA from 1 species
AGUGAACGCUGGCGGUAGGCCUAACACAUGCAAGUCGAACGGCAGCACAGUACGAGUUUGCUCUUACGGGUGGCGAGUGGCGGACGGGUGAGGUAUACAUCGGAACCUACUUUUUCGUGGGGGAUAACGUAGGGAAACUUACGCUCAUAUCGCAUACGAUCUACGGGUGAAAGCAGGGGAUAUUUGCACCUUGCGCGAUUGAACGAGCCGAUGUCGGAGUAGCUAGUUGGCGGGGUAAUGGCCAACCAAGUCGCGGAUCCGUAGCUGGUCUGAGUGAAUGAUCGCCGGCACUGGAACUGAAACACGGACCAUGCUCCUGCGGGAGGGAGCAGUGUGGAAUGGUAGACAGCGGGGGCAAGCCUGAUCCAGCCGUACCGCGUGUGUGAAGAAGACGUUGGGUGUGUGAAGCCCGUCUGUGGGGAGAGAAAAGCAUCAGGUUGUUACCCCGCUGUUCUGACGGUACCCGGAGAAUAAGCACCGGCUAACUACGUG